rnacentral:rRNA from 1 species
CCCGGCGACCGGCGCACGGGUGAGUAACGCGUAUGCAACUUACCUAUCAGAGGGGGAUAACCCGGCGAAAGUCGGACUAAUACCGCGUGAAGCAGGGGCCCCGCAUGGGGAUAUUUGCUAAAGAUUCAUCGCUGAUAGAUAGGCAUGCGUUCCAUUAGGCAGUUGGCGGGGUAACGGCCCACCAAACCGACGAUGGAUAGGGGUUCUGAGAGGAAGGUCCCCCACAUUGGUACUGAGACACGGACCAA